GCCAUCGUAGCCUAAUGGUUAUGGCGUUGCUUUCCUAUUACGUAAGCAAGGCAGAGGUUGUGGGUUCGACUCCCAUCGAUGGUU